AAUGGUUUCAGAGAUGGAUAACCAUAGUUACCCUAAAAUGCCAUGAUAAGACAGCAGAAACCUAGAUGAUUGCGCCUGAUAAAAGGAGGGUGAGAAGGGGAGGAUGGUGCCGAGGGCUUGCUACGAGCCUGUGUGUGUAUAUGUGUGUCUAAGUUGUGUGCUGUAAAGCAGUAAUAAAGUAGAGAACGAAUUGCAAACAAUCGCCUGCCGUGCUUCUGUGCUCCACCCACAACAGAGUCUUCCUACAGUGGUGCCGAAACCUGGGAGAGUGCAGAAGGGAACAGCCCCAUGGAGUCCUCGCUGUUUAAGGAGCUGAUCCAUGCCCUCGCCACAGCCCAGCAGAACCAGCACCAAGCACUGGUCGCCCUCCAGAAGGAGCAGGAGCAACGAUUCAAAGCCUUGGUGCUGGCCCAGCAGGAGGACUGCCAGGCGUUCCGGCACCUGCUCGCGUUGGCAGGGCCCAUGACCCCCACCGGAGCGGACCCUCCCCACCUCACCUUAACAAAGAUGGGUCUGCACAAUGACCUGGAAGCCUUCCUCGCGCUCUUCGAGCAGGCAGCUGAGGCAUGGGGUUGGCCGGUGGACCAGCACACGGCGCGCCUCCUUCCCCUGCUGACGGGCGAGGCGCAACUGGCCGCGCUGCAGCUCCCCGCCGACAGCCGGCUCGUCUAUGUGAACCUUUGUAGAGCCAUCCUCCAGCGUGUCGGCCGCUCCCCAGAGCAACAACGGCAGCGCUUCCGCUCACUGUGCUUGGAGGAGGUCGGCCGGUCGUUCACGUUCGGGCAGCAACUCCGGGAUGCCUGCCAGCAGUGGCUGAGGGCAGACGACCGCGACGCCAAGGGAGUGACCGACCUGGUGACACUGGAACAAUUCGUCGCGCGACUUCCGGAAGGAAUGGCGGAGUCACUGGACCAGGCGAUCUAGCUGGCAGAGGAUCACAUGGCAGCAGUUCCGAUGGCAGGACGGCAUGUCUCCUCUUCUCCUCUCUCUUCUCCCUCUCUCUCUGUUUCCCAUCCCCACCCCAUCCCCCCACCGCGGAGGAGGGGGCCGGCUCCACUCCAGCCGGCCCGGCGCACCCGUGGUGUCCUCCCGUUUCCCCCUUCCUUGUCUGUGUCUCCUCCCCCUCAGGUGAGUGAUGCCCGUAACACUGGUGCAGAGGGAGAGCCUGGGCCGGUGUGCUGGCACUGCGGGGAGCCGGGACAUCUCUAACAUCAGUGCUCCACGAUGGAGGUGGGUGCGGUGGUCCAGGUCCCUGACGUGCCAGAAACUGCCCUCGAUCGGGCUGGAGCGUAUUGAAUACCGACAGACGCAUCGGACAAAGGGCUGGGGGCCGUUCUGUCCCAGGAGGUGGAGGGGGAGGAGCGUCCCAUGCUGUACAUUAGCCGGAAGCUGUCGAUGCGGGAAGGCAGGUACAGCACGAUUGAAAAAGAGUGCCUAG